UCUGAUCUUACCUCUAUGUUUCUUUCUAUUUUUCAGUUUAACAUACUGUUCUUCUGACUUCUCAAGAGUGAUGUUUUUCUAAUGCACAUAUCUCACACUUAACAAGUUAAUUCAUUCCUGAAAACUCUGAUGCUAAAUAACAAGCCAUUAAAAUUUUUAAAUAUUUCUAUCAAUUUAAUGGAAGAAAAUGCUCUAUUCUAUCCCAAUCCAAGAUAGUCAAACAAUUUUCACAUGUAGAAAAACACAUUGGUUGAACAAUGAAAAACGAUUUAAAAAAAGUAAGGAACAGCUUCAAUAAUUUCAAAGUAAAUAAAUACCACUUGUACAUAAAAUUUAAUGUAAUUAAGAAUUACUUUGCCCACAAAGGUGGUACAGAAGACUUGAUGACAGGUGGUGGCUGAUGAAGGCAGGUGCAAGGGAGUUAUUCUUCAGAAGACACGUUCUUUCCACACCAUUUUCUUUACCAAUGUUUCAACCACUGGGAGAGGCUUAUCUUUAUCUUUCACUGAAGCUAUACUUAAAAAUAAAGUUAUUACUGGGGCUGGCUCCGUGGCCGAAUGGUUAAGUUCGCAUGCUCCACUGUGGCGGCCCAGGGUUCAGAUCCUGGGCGCAGACAUGGCACUGCUUGUCAGGCCACGUUGAGGCGGCAUCCCACAUCCCACAACUAGAAGGACUUGCAACUAAGAUAUACAACUGUGUGUUGGGGGGGGGGGGAGGUUGGGGAGAUAAAGCAGAAAAAAAAAAAAAAGAUUGGCAAUAGUUGUUAGCCUAGGUGCCAAUCUUUAAAAAAUAAAUAAAUAACAAAGUUAUUGCACACACACAAAAUCGAUAAGGCAAAACACAGGAAUGCUGUCAAAGACACGGAAAAAAACCUCACCACCCAGCAGAUGGGAGAGUGUGGAAGAGGCGCCCACUGUGUCCCCUCACCUGGCAGGUCUAUGAGAAGCAGUACAUUUGGGGUCUUCCAGACAGGGGCACAGUUCACAUUGGCUCCCCACGACUUUCUUUGACUAGAAAUUGCUAUGAUGACCAAAUUGAUGGGCAUGUCUGUGCCCAAAUCAAAGCGUCAAAAUGUCGCUUUUAUGGCAAAUUUAUCUAGUGUGCUUGGUAGUCACAUGAAAAAGGGGGUGCUCACUGAAAGCGGCUUAUCUUUUCCAGAUGGUUUGGUGGAAAGUCUUCAACCGAAGCCGUGUUCCAUCAGAGGAACCUGUGUAGCCCAUGCCCGUCCCCUCACACCUUCCCCGACACCAGGUGCUGCCAGCCCUUCAUUUCUGUGGGACUGAUGGGUGAAGAGCUGUAGCUUAGGGGGGUGGGGCAGGCUGUAAAGAUGCUCUACAUACUUUUCCUGUUCUGUCUGUUAACACUGGGGCUCCCACUGGGCUGUGUGGUUCCGAUCUCAGGUUCAGUAUGCAGCCUUGAACAGGACAAGUAGGAAAUGAGUGUGAGAAGGGUAGCUCUUCAUAGGAUGCAGAUGAGGGUAAGGGGAGACCACCAGGCUCAGCUUAGCACAGUGCCUGGAACCUAAUCAGUGCUCCAUUCUAGUGGGUGAUAGUGACAACAAGGGGAUCUCAGAGGGGCAGCUCCUCACUCUGUGCCCUGGGACCCUGAGCUCCCCCUGCCCCUAUCUGCACUCUGUUUCCUCCUGGAUCAUUGAACACAGAAUCUUGGUCUCAACACAAGCUCCAUCAGUCAUUCAGUCAGGCGACAAGCAGGGGAAGGCAGAGUUGAGGCAGCCUCAGGGCGCAGAGGGAGUGAGAUCAGGCUGGGAGGGAGAGCUGGGUGCCUUCCUGCUCUGCACUGGCUGGGACACUGUGGUGGGCUGAACCAUGGCCCCCAAAGAUACCAAGUCCUCAUCCACGGAACCAUGCCCAUGUCCUUAUAUGUCAACAUCUUUGAAGAUUUUAAUAAAUUAAGGCUCUUGAGAUGGGCAGAUUAUCCUGGAUUAUCCUGAAUUAUCUGGGUGGGCCCUAAAUGAUAUCCUAUGUGUCCUUACUCAAGGGAGGCAGAGGGAGAUUUGACACACACAGAGGAGGAGGCCAUGUGAGGACUGAGGCCAAAAAGGAGCCUCCCCUGGAGCCUUUGGAGGGAGCACAGCCCUGCCGACACCUCAAUUUCAGACUUAUAGCCUUCAGGAUGGGGAGAGAAUAAAUUUCUGUUUUUAGAACCACCCAGUUUGUUACAGCAGGAACAUGAAGCUAAUACAGAUACACACUCUUCCUGGUCCCAGGAACGUUCCCUGCCCCUCACCCCCCGCACAUGCACACACGCGUGCACACACACACACACACACACCCUGAGGUCCCAACAAAGCCCCUGCCUCACUCACUGCCCCGUCCAUCAGCCUUGAUGAUUCACAGGCGUUCCUGUCCAUUCCAGUGAUACGGGUCUCUUAAUUUCAGACUUUGCAAGUCUCUCUCCCAUCCUCUUAUCUCUUUCUAACUUGUCCAUGGUGUCCAUUGGCAAGAAGUGCUAGUUUUGAUGGAAUCAGAUUUGUCAUUGUUUUUUGCCUUAUGGAUUAUGCUUUGGGAUCUUUGUGUAAGAAAUUCUUCCUUGCUCAGAUGUUACAAAGAUUCUCCUACACUUGCUUCUAACUUCAAAUUGUUGCCUUUUACAUUCGGGUCUUGAUUCUCUCUGGAGCCCACCUCUGUGUGCAGCGUUAAGUCAAGGCCAUGUUUACUUUCUCCAUGUAGUGAUCCAGCGCCCAACACCAUUUCCCACACAGUUGGCUCUUCACCUCUUGGUGGUAGUGCCCCUGAGUACGAGGUGAGGGUCUCCUACCCCCCAGCCCCACCUCCAGCUCCCUGCCCUCUUGUGCAGUUAGAAGAAACUGUUCUCUGACCAUGAAUUCGUAGGGUCUUCCCAUCAGAUAUUCUCCAUUUUUAUGGUGACUUCACUGUUUGGUGACAUGGUCCUUCUGUUGUAGCGUAGGUUUACUGAGCUUCUCCAAAGAUCUACAUGGCAUUUUGAUAGAGAUGACUUUGGAUUUGCAGCUUAUUUGGGUGAUAUUGUCAUAAAAUUAUCAAACCACCCAAGAGCAGGAUAGCGCUCCAGUCACGCAGUCACCUCAGCGGGGUGAGCCCCAUGAGGAAUGUGAGUCCGUGGUGGGGGUGGGUGGGGCGCGCUGCCUCUGGGUGAGGACAUGCAUCUUCUGGAUGCUUUUGGCUACAGCUCACCAACUCGGUGGUCCUGGGAUUGGUUAAUUCCUGGGACCAGGGGAGCCCAGGCUCCAGGUCUCUCCUCCACGAUUCUUGCGGCAUUGCCCUCAUAGUGGAAAGAUGCUGAACAACUCCUCCAUCGUCCUGCACGGAGAAGCAUGGGUCCCUCCUGGGGACCCUUUCAAGUAGCCCCCAGAUGUCCCCACCAGCCCCUUGUGACACCCUCAUGUCUCUUUCUCUGGCCUGGGUCCUGUCACAUCCUGGCCACCCAUCUGGAGCUGGGAGAGGCACCAGGAGGGGGCAAGGGGCAGGCUGCUUGGCCUGGCUUCCUGUCCUCCUUGAGAUCUUAGGACACUGUGAGGUCACAGUGUGGGCAGCCCCAGGUCACAGGCAGCUCUACAUGAUCUCCCUGGCUGGCAGGAGGGAGAGAUCAGCAGGCUAGUUCCAGGAUGGUGGACAUGAGACUGCCCUCACGGCAAUGUGACCCUGGGGCUGUGGGUGGGGAUGACAAGGAUUCCUCCUGACCAGCUGCUGCCAGGCAGGGAAACCCUGUCCCAGAGCAGCCCAGAUCCCUGCAGAGGCUUGGCCCAGACGCAGGGCUUCAAGUGGCCACACUCCAGAGCCUCUCCAAGAUUUUGGAGAGUUUGCCAAAUGUUUAGGGACAGUGAAGGGGCUCCUUCUUGGUCACUGCCUGGGGUUCCCACAUCCCCCAUCCUUUGGCCCAGCCCCAAUCCACCCUGUUAUCUUGGGAUGACAGGGGGCCUGAGAGCACCCUGGACGUGAGGUCUGAGUUCUCUGAAGCCCAGACUGGGGCCAACCUUUGACGGGGGCUAGGGUUGGGGGCCGCCUCUGGGACUCUCAGUCAAGGGGGGGUGGGGAGAAGGCUGCCCCUGAGAUGCUGAGUCCGUGGGGGAGGGGGCUGCAUCAGGCAAUCUUGGUUUUGGCGCCCUCUGGUGGACGCUGGGGCACCCUACAGACCACUCUUCAGGCACAGGAGACAACUGAACACUCAGGAGACUGAGGGGUGGGGCAGUCCUGGGUUUGUCCCAAUAUCAAUGCUGAAAAGCAGGGUGACCCUGAAGUCACUCUGCCCGCUGAUCCUCAGUCUUCUCAUCUGUCAAAAUGGUGACAGAUCCAUUUCAAAAGGUUGUCAGGGAGGAGACAGAGCAGAUGAGACUAUGCAAGUGACACAGCAAUGACAGUUCCCUCCUCUGUCUCCCAGACAGACAGACAGAGGGGCUGAGUCCCACAAGCAGAGGGUCACGCCAUCCUGGCCACUCCCCUCCAUCCUCUGCCAGCAGCUGCCAGGGCAACCGUCCCACAACGGGGUCACCCUUGAUGGAAGCCCUUCAGUUCCAGCUGCCACAGGACCAGAGUCCAAGUCUCUGGCCUGGACAAGGGCUCAUGAGAACUCGUCUGACCACACCAUUCCCUGCCCCUCUACCCAGCCUCAGCCACGCCGACCCACCUCUGGCUCCCACCUCCUGGCCUUCACCCCAGCUGAUUUCUCCCGUCAUUCCCUCCUUACCCUUCCUUCGUCCUCUGGCAAAUUCCUACCCUCCUUCCCACCUGACGGGAAUGGGGUGUCUGUCCCUCCUUUGAGAAGACUUCCUGGACCCCACUCCUCCAACCCUUGACAAGAGUGCCAAGACAAUUCAAUGGGGGAGAGAAUAGUUGUUCAGCGCACGGUGCUGAGAUAACUGGAGAGCCAUGUGCAAAAGAAUGAAGUUGAGCCCUACCCCAUGUCAUAUCCAAAAUUACCCCUGACGGUGUCAAGUAGAGCAGCUAAACCUAUAAAACUCUUAGAAGAAAACAGGAGCACAUCUUCAUAAUUUUGGAGUUGGCAAUCAUAUCUUAGAUAUGACACUAAAAGUGCGAGCAACAAAAGAAAAAGAUAAGUUUAAAAUUUUUGUGCUUCAAAGGACGCUAUCGAGAAAGUGAAAAGACAAUCUACCAAACGGGAUAAAAUUUUUGCAAAUCACGUAUCUUAUAGGGACUUGAAUCUAGAAUAUAUGAAGAACUCUUACAACUCAGCAAUAAAAAGACAAACAACCAAAUUAAAAAUGGGCAAAGAGGGGCUGGCCCCGUGGCCCAGUGGUUAAGUUCGCGCACUCCACUGCAGGCGGCCCAGUGUUUCGUUGGUUUGAAUCCUGGGCGCGGACAUGGCACCGCUCAUCAGGCCAUGCUGAGGCAGCGUCCCACAUGCCACAACUAGAAGGACCCACAACGAAGAAUAUACAACUAUGUACCAGGCAGCUUUGGGGAGAAAAAGGAAAAAAAUAAAAUCUUUAAAAAAAAAAAAAUGGGCAAAGGAUCUGAGUAGACAAUUCUCAAAGAAGAAACACAAAUGGCCCCUCAGGGAACAGGAAAAGAUGCUCAACAUCAUUAGCCAUCAGAGAAGUGCAAACCAAAAUCACGAUGAGAUGCCAUUUCAUACCCACUAUGAUGGCUAUCAUGCAAAAGUUAGAUAAUGAAAAGUGUUGAUGAGGAUGUAGAGAAAUUGAAACCCUCAUAUAUUACUGGUGAGAAUGUAAAAUGGUGCAACCAUUUUGGAAAAAUAGUCUAGUUCUCAGAGAGUUAAACAUGGAGUUCCAUUUGAUCCAGCAAUUCCAUGCCUAAGUAGAACACAGGAGGACUGAAAACACAGGGCCACACGCAAAUUUGCACACAAAAGUUCACAGCAGCAUUAUUCAUAAUAGCCCCAAAGUGGAAACAACUCAAAUGUCUGUCAGUGGAUGAAUGGAUAAACAAAGCAUGGACUAUCCAUAUAGUGGAAUACUGUUCAGCUCUAAAAAGGAAUAAAAUACUGAUACAUGUCACGAUAUCGACGAACCAUGAAACAUGAUGCUAAGUGAAAGAAGCAAAUCACAAAAGACCACAUAUUACACAAUUCAGUUAGAAAAAAUGCCCAGAAGAGGCACAUCUAUACAAACAGAAAGUAGAGUAGCAGUUGCUUAGGGCUGGGGGGAGGGCGGGGAAGAGGGAUUGGGGUUAAUAGCUGACGGGUACGGGGUCUCUUUCUAGGGUAAUGAAAAUGUUCUAGAAUUUAUUGUGGUGUGGCUGCACGAGUCUGCGAAUAUACCAAAAGCCAUCAAAUGGUGCAUUAAAGUUAAGUGAGUGACUUGCGUGCUAUGUAACCUGUAUCUCAAUAAAGUUGUUACAUGCACAAGAAAGGCACACGAUGCAGCCAGGAUGGGGAGGAACUUCCUUUGGGCUCUAGCUUUCUUCUUAGCCCCUCUCGUCCUCACUCUCCCUCCAGGGUGUCUUCCUUCCCACCACGUUCCAAGCCAGGAGUGUCUUAAUCUGUCCUUGGCCAUCCCUGUUGCCCUCCCGUUCUUCUGGGUUGAUCACUGACUGUGCCGGCCUUUCAUCGCCCGGUGUCUGUGAUAGCUGCAGUCAGUUCUCAGAGUUCUUUCUGAUUGAAGAAUCCAGAAUUGAGAAGGAUCGGCUUCCUUCUAGAUAUCAGGCUGCCAUUUGUGAAGUGGCCAUCCAGUGGCCAGGGGCGCCCAGAUCCUUAGCUUUAGCUGGGUACCGGGGCCACAUAACUCCCACAGCCCCAAGAACAAGCAGAUUCCUGAAACUAGAGCUCACAUCCACGUCUGCUAGGGCAGCAACGGUGCCAGCAGGCCCUGUGGAGACAAAGACAAACACGGCGGGCCCUCUGCCAUCGAGACACUUGCUGAGGAGUAGACAAGCCAGCCCUUGGCUGAAGGAAGACUGUGCUGAGUGUCUCAGAGAAAAGGAAGUGGGCAGUGCAGAUGGGGAUCUAGGAGCCAGGCCUUGAAGGAGGAGAAUUUCAAUAGGGAAGGGCAUUCCAGGUAGGUGGAACAGAACAUGCAAUGAUGUACAGACAACAUGUGUGAACCAUAUGAAUUAAUCAUUUUUAUGGGGAAAAAAACUGAUCAAAUAUCAGCAAUUUCAUAUAAGUCAAUCUAAGCAGGCACACAGGGAGAUGAGCCCAGUGCAGCUAGACCAGUGGUUCUCAAAGUGUGUUCCAUGGAAUCCUAGGGUCCUGAGAUCUUGCAGGGGAUCUGUGAGGUCAAAGCUCUUAAUACUAAAGCAUUACUUGCCCUUUUCACUGGGCUGACAUUUAUACUGACAUGACACUGGUGCAAAGCCAUGAUGGACAGAGCUGCUGGAACCUCAGCUCAAAUCAAGGCAGUGGCACCAAGCUCUACCCGUGGUCAUUGUCACUUUACUACCAUGAGCGCACGGAAAACCCAGCAUACUGAGAAAGCACUAAAAAUAGUUAAUUCUAUUAAAUCUCCACCCUUAAGUAAGUACACAUCUCUUUAAUAUUCUGUGUGAUGAAAUGCAAAGAGGGAAGGAGAGCAGCUGCCCUGAGGAAGAGCGCCCGUGCGGCCAGGUGUCUGAGUUCCCAGCUGAAUCAGCCGCCUGUUUGAGGGAGUACCACUUUUACCUAAAAGAACGACUAAUGGACAGACUACGCCUAUUCAGGCUGCAGUUGUGGACAAGCAUCUCCCUGAAAAUGAGUGAUGUGAGCUGGCCACUUGAAGGUAAACAGCUGACAGCAUUUGUUGCCGAUGAAAAACUUGAGCUCUCAGCAAAAAUGAGGAUUUUGGAAAACGUGUGUCUGCCACUGUCAGCCUGAGGUAAAGACAUUCCUGAUGAGAUUGAUGGCGAUGUUAACAAAGGUGCUUUUUGGAUGACAUGUAAUCAAAUAUGUCAACAUCUAGAAGAUAUGCAUCACCCCAUGACCCAGUAUUUGCCAGGUGACAAACACCCCAUAUAAAAAAUCUCCCCCGGGUCAAAGAGCCACUCAAAGUAUGAGCUGGACCGGUGGGUUUCACUGCAACAGAGGAUGCACAUUUCAUAAAAUUCGUCAAGACGGUUUCAGAAUCCAUAUGCUAAGUAAUCUUUAAUAAACUCCCACCUGUCCAGUUUUGGGGUGGUUUCAAAGGAGAAUAUCCACAAUUACCUUAAAAAGGCAUUAAAAUACCCUCCCUUUUCCAGCAGUGUGUCUCUGAGAGGCUGGACGUUCCUUACACACUGCAGCCAACACUGCUCGAAUGCAGAGGCCGAGAUGAGAACCUACCUGUCUACCGUCUCCUAGUCAGCCAGACAAAGAGCUGGCAAAACUGUAAACCGGUGACACUCAUUUCACUGAGUUUGUUGUUACUGUUUCAAAAAAUUCUCAUUUUUCGUUUAAAAAUCAUUAUUAAUGUUAACACAUUAUGAGUUUAUCAUUAUUUUAAAA
ensembl:lncRNA